GACGAACGCUGGCGGCGUGCUUAACACAUGCAAGUCGAACGGAAAGGCCCUGCUUUUGUGGGGUGCUCGAGUGGCGAACGGGUGAGUAACACGUGAGUAACCUGCCCUUGACUUUGGGAUAACUUCAGGAAACUGGGGCUAAUACCGGAUAGGAGCUCCUGCUGCAUGGUGGGGGUUGGAAAGUUUCGGCGGUUGGGGAUGGACUCGCGGCUUAUCAGCUUGUUUGUGGGGUAGUGGCUUACCAAGGCUUUGACGGGUAGCCGGCCUGAGAGGGUGACCGGCAACAUUGGGACUGAGAUACGGCCCAGACUCCUACGGGAGGCAGCAGUGGGGAAUAUUGCACAAUGGGCGGAAGCCUGAUGCAGGAACGCCGCGUGCGGGAUGACGGCCUUCGGGUUGUAAACCGCUUUCGCCUGUGACGAAGCGUGAGUGACGGUAAUGGGUAAAGAAGCACCGGCUAACUACGUG
rnacentral:rRNA from 1 species